rnacentral:lncRNA from 1 species
ACGCACUCAAAACUGUAACUGCUCCUGAAAGAAGGAAAGGAUGUGGAUUGUCUCUCAUCAGCGUCACAAAUUGCAAAACUGCAAACAUGCGACGUAAUAAACAAAACUAUUUCGCUUUGCUGCAAUGGCCUAAUACAGCUAGUUAUCCCUCUAUUUAAAGUAUACAAAGCAUAGAAUAGGACCAGCUACACCACAAGCAGAGAAACCAUUUCCACGCUCAAUAUAUUAACACUUUCACACACACGGUUCUCUUACGGAUUUUGGUCCUCUCGUGCCUAUCGGCCUUCAAGUUCCAACUCCUGGAUUUUUUACAACUUAACGCCGGCUCCCCCUGUCGGCCGCCACACGAAUUUUACAGCUCGGAGCAUAGCACAGGAGUUGGAGAGCGGGCUCCCCCUAUAGGCAGAGAAAAAAAGGACGGCUUGCUGAGAACGGGCGAGUUUUCGAGCGGUUGCCAGUGAGGAGGGCGAGUGAGCAUUUCUCUCUUCCUCUCCCUUUUUCUCUCUUUCCUCCCCCCCCCCGCAGGACAUCAGCAACAGCAGGUUGCAUCCAGGAAACCAGAGCCUCGAUUGUGCCUGUGGUCGAAGAAACAGCAGAGGCUCGCAUGCAGCAGCAGCAGCAACAGCAACAGCGGGCAUUUCUUCGUCUCCUUGGUCGCUGGCCGCUCCAAACUCGGCGCUUCUGCCGCGGCUCGCGCUGGCUCCAGCUCCGGCUCCUUCUCGCCUCUGCCUGCCGUCGCGCCCCGCCGCCCCACGGCUCCCGGCUGCCCGCAGCCUCCCUCCGUCCGAGCCGCGUCAGUCAGCCCAGGGCGGCUGCACCCACUGCCUCGAAGUCUGGGAGCGCCCGAGGCUCCCCGGCUGCUUGCCCCUAUGGGCAUUCGAGAGUUUCCCAGCGGCCCGGCGAGGGGCAAGAGCAUCGCCAUUGGCAUGAGGAGAUCUCCGGAUGUCAGCCCCCGGAGGCUGUCGGACAUCAGCCCCCAACUUCGGCAGCUGAAAUACCUAGUGGUGGAUGAAGCCAUCAAGGAGGAUUUGAAAUGGUCCCGGUCUGUGGAAGACCUCACCAGCACCAACAUGGGGCUCACCUCCAUCGAGGAAAGGAUCCUGAGGAUCACUGGCUACUACGGCUACCAGCCCUGGGCUGCCAGCUACAAAAGUAAGUCCUUUGUUUGUCUCGCUUCCCUUUAGAG